rnacentral:rRNA from 1 species
CCUACGGGAGGCAGCAGUGGGGAAUAUUGCACAAUGGGCGCAAGCCUGAUGCAGCCAUGCCGCGUGUAUGAAGAAGGCCUUCGGGUUGUAAAGUACUUUCAGUCGUGAGGAAGGUGUUAAGGUUAAUAACCUUAGCAAUUGACGUUAGCGACAGAAGAAGCACCGGCUAACUCCGUGCCAGCAGCCGCGGUAAUACGGAGGGUGCGAGCGUUAAUCGGAAUUACUGGGCGUAAAGGGCACGCAGGCGGUUAAGUAAGGUGGGUGUGGAAUCCCCGGGGCUAAACUGGGAAUUGGAAUCAAGACUGGGUUGGGAGAGUCUUGGAGAGGGGGGGAGGAAUGCAUGUGUAGCGGUGAAAUGCGUAGGGAUGGGGAGGGAUACCGGUGGCGAAGGCGGGCCCCUGGACAAAGACUGACGGUCAUGUGCGAAAACGUGGGGAGCAAACAGGAUUAGAUACCCUGGUAGUC